rnacentral:rRNA from 1 species
ACCAGACGAUGCGGUUACCGCGGCUGCUGGCACGGAGUUAGCCGGUGCUUCUUCUGUGAGUGAUGUCCUUCCUGCCGGUUAUUGACCCGCAGGCCUUCUUCCUCACUGAAAGUGCUUUACAACCCGAAGGCCUUCUUCACACACGCGGCAUGGCUGGAUCAGGGUUGCCCCCAUUGUCCAAUAUUCCCCACUGCUGCCUCCCGUAGGAGUCUGGGCCGUGUCUCAGUCCCAGUGUGGCUGAUCAUCCUCUCAGACCAGCUACGGAUCGUCGCCUUGGUGAGCCGUUACCUCACCAACCAGCUAAUCCGACAUAGGCUCAUCCGAUAGCGCGAGGCCCGAAGGUCCCCGCUUUCCCCGUAGGGCGUAUGCGGUAUUAGCCUGGGUUUCCCCAGGUUAUCCCCACUACCGGGCAGAUUCCUAUGCAUUACUCACCCGUCCGCCGCUCGCCACCAGGGAGCAAGCUCCCCGUGCUGCCGCUCGACUUGCAUGUGUUAGGCCUGCCGCCAGCGUUCAAU